AGAGAGAGACAUGCGCGCAUAUCAAUAAGCGGAGGAAAAGAAACUAACUAGGAUUCCCUCAGUAACGGCGAGUGAAGCGGGAAGAGCUCAAAUUUGAAAUCUUCAAGGUUCUACCUUGACGAAUUGUAGUUUAAAGAAGUGUUUUCUGUUGGAGUUUUGGUAAAAGUUCUUUGGAAUAGGACAUCAUAGAGGGUGAGAAUCCCGUAUUUGACCAUUAUUUCCAGCUUUGUGAUACACUUUCAAAGAGUCGGAUUGUUUGGGAAUGCAGUCCAAAAUGGGUGGUAAAUUUCAUCUAAAGCUAAAUAUUGGCGAGAGACCGAUAGCGAACAAGUACCGUGAGGGAAAGAUGAAAAGAACUUUGAAAAGAGAGUUAAACAGUACGUGAAAUUGUCAAAAGGGAAGCGUUUGACACCAGUGUUGUUUUUCUCGAAAAUCAAUUAAAGAAGCAUGAUUUAUGUAAGUUGUAUUAGACUUUAUCAGCUAUUCUGCCUCUUAGUUCUUGAGCUUUUCUUUAAUGCACUUUUCAGUUUAACAAGUCAACAUCAAUUUCUUUUGUUGUAAAAAGGGUCAUUGGAAGGUGGCUUGCGAUUUCGUAUAAGUGUUUAUAGCCUCUUGCCUCUGCAGUCGGAGAGAUUGAGGUCUGCAGCGUAGAUCCUUCGGGGCUAAAUAGCAUUUGUGCUAAGUUAUAACAUCUUUAUAGACAACUUGUUGACUAUGAUUAGUCUUGUAGCUUACUCGCUUAUGCUAUUUUACCUACGCUUAGGAUGUUGAUGUGAUACUGCGAGC
rnacentral:rRNA from 1 species